GUCAUCCAGAAAUGGAUGAAUCACAUUAUGUAUGUGGUCCCAUAGCGCCAUCUAUGUUUAUUGAUAUGAUAUCCAAAGCUUUGUUUAUGAGUUCAUAUUAUGCUUUGGAUAAAAAUGGAAUGCAUGCUACAUCAAAAAUGACAUACAAGCUUGUGUUUAUUAUUCGGUUCACUUGUUAUACUUUGAAAUGUUUCGUUUGUCAUUAUUAUGCCCCCAAACACUCUUAUGCCUUUGAUAUGCACCUAAAUGCUUCAUGUGUCA
rnacentral:lncRNA from 1 species